rnacentral:lncRNA from 1 species
CACUUUCGGCGGCAGGUUCGGCGGCCGAAUGUCCUCUCCAGAGACGAAACUCAAGCACCUUCGGCGGCACCUUCGGCGGCCGAAUCCCCCAAACAGAGCCGAACAUGCAAAAACACUCGGGGGCAAACUAUGGCAAUCAAGCCACCAUGCAGGAGGUUCGGCGGCCGAAUGAACCUUCGGCUGCCGAACCUGAGUUCAUCCAGAACUCAGCUUCAACGGCAAAC